rnacentral:rRNA from 1 species
UACGUAGGGGGCAAGCGUUGUCCGGAUUUAUUGGGCGUAAAGAGCGUGUAGGCGGCCAGACAGGUCUGCUGUGAAAACUCGAGGCUCAACCUCGAGACGCCGGUGGAAACCGUUUGGCUAGAGUCCGGAAGAGGAGAGUGGAAUUCCUGGUGUAGCGGUGAAAUGCGCAGAUAUCAGGAAGAACACCCGUGGCGAAGGCGGCUCUCUGGGACGGUACUGACGCUGAGACGCGAAAGCGUGGGGAGCGAACAGG